rnacentral:rRNA from 1 species
CUACGGGUCGCUCCAGUGGGGAAUAUUGCACAAUGGAGGAAACUCUGAUGCAGCAACGCCGCGUGGAGGAUGACACUUUUCGGAGCGUAAACUCCUUUUAUAUAGGAAGAAGAUGACGGUACUAUAUGAAUAAGCGCCGGCUAACUCCGUGCCAGCAGCCGCGGUAAUACGGAGGGCGCAAGCGUUACUCGGAAUCACUGGGCGUAUAGAGCGUGUAGGCGGAUUAAAAAGUCAGAAGUGAAAUCCUAUAGCUUAACUAUAGAACUUCUUCUGAAACUCUUAAUCUAGAAUAUGGGAGAGGUAGAUGGAAUUUCUGGUGUAGGGGUAAAAUCCGUAGAGAUCAGAAGGAAUACCGAUUGCGAAGGCGAUCUACUAGAACAUUAUUGACGCUGAGACGCGAAAGCGUGGGGAGCAAACAGGAUUAGAUACCCUAGUAGUC